rnacentral:rRNA from 1 species
CCUACGGGCGGCUGCAGUAAGGAAUAUUGGUCAAUGGAGGAAACUCUGAACCAGCCAUCCCGCGUGAAGGAUGAAGGGGCUCUGCCUUGUAAACUUCUUUUGUCUGGGGCGAAAAAGCUCGAUUUAUCGAGAACUGACGGUACCAGAAGAAUAAGCACCGGCUAACUCCGUGCCAGCAGCCGCGGUACUACGGAGGGUGCAAGCGUUAUCCGGAUUCACUGGUGUGAAGGGGUCCUAGUGCGGCUGAGUAGAAAGGCUGUGGCUUAACCAUGGAAGUGCCAUUGAUACUGCAGAGCGUGAAUGAGGUUGAGGUUGGCGGAAUGUGACAUGUAGCGGUGAAAUGCUUAGAUAUGUCAUGGAACACCGAGUGCGAAGGCAGCUGACUGGACCUAUAUUGACGCUGAGGCACGAAAGCGUGGGGAGCGAACAGGAUUAGAUACCCUUGUAGUC